rnacentral:rRNA from 1 species
UACGUAGGGUGCGAGCGUUGUCCGGAAUUAUUGGGCGUAAAGAGCUCGUAGGCGGUUUGUCGCGUCGGCCGUGAAAACUUGGGGCUUAACCCCAAGCCUGCGGUCGAUACGGGCAGACUUGAGUUCGGCAGGGGAGACUGGAAUUCCCGGUGUAGAGGUGAAAUGCGCAGAUAUCAGGAGGAACACCGAUGGCGAAGGCAGGUCUCUGGGCCAUAACUGACGCUGAGAAGCGAAAGCAUGGGGAGCGAACAGG